GGUCCACUCUUAAAAUGCUCAUGUAGUAGUGGGUGGAAUUUUUUUAGGUGAUUCACCUAAAUUUACUAUUAUUCGUAAAUUUCAACCACUUAGGCGAUAUCGCGAGCGCAGAUCGCCUCUACCACACAAAAUGAGCUCCACCACGCGCAGCCCAACAACCAUCCUUUACUUCCCACGCGAGAAACGCACCAAGAAGGCGAGAACACCCUCUACAAAUCCAGCAAACCAGCAAAGGAAGGCGACAACAGUUUGUCGAUCUGAACUCAAACGAUGAUGUAUCUCAGGCCAAAUUACUGAAAAAUCGUUCCUUUUCCGGUGAGAGAAGAGAGAAAACAAUGCAUGGUCCAAGGAACAAUGUUAGGUCUGUGAGGUUGGUUCAGUGAAGAGACCAAACGGCUCAGAAAAUGGGCAGCGAUGGAACACUUCGCCGGCGAGAUACAACCGAGAAAUCUUUCUGGCAGUCGAGGUCGGCGGGUACCGAAGGAUCUAGGUCCGUUGUGAUGUAGGCUUUGGAAAUGGUUGAGAUUUGUUCGAGGUCGGGGAGGAGUGUUUGGUGGAAUCUAUUUGGUAGAUCUGUGAACUCUGAAACCAAAUCGUCAUCCUCGUCUAGAAUCCAACUCGGCGGUGUCUGUUUCGUAGGUUUGUUCUUGGAUUGUUGUUGUGAAGUCUUUUGUUUCUUGUUUGUUGCCUCAUGAGUUUGAUCUGCUUUUGUUGGUUUGAUUUUUUGAGGAAAUGUUGUCGGAUUUGAUGGUCUUGGUUUGAUUCUUUGAAGAUAGAGCGACAAGUGUGUAGUCUCACAUUGAGGUUCCAAAGAAGAACUGAUGCAAAUGGAGAGAGAAAGCAAUAACACAACAAAGAACAAUAGUACCUUUCUGAGAUUGAGUUGAGCCAUUGGUUUUGCUGGUUUUUGCUUCAAGAUCUACAAGAAGGGUGGCGGUUGGAGAAGAGGCCGCCGCGGCCAGUGGGCCAAUUCUAGGAAGGUUUCCGGUGGUCGUAGAGGAAGUAUAACUUGUUGGUUUUGUUUGCACAUCCGUUUUGUUUGCACUUCGUGGAAUUGAUGAUUGUACAAUAAAUCGCCUAUUCAAUUUACACGUCAUGUAAAAAAAAUAUAGCUCA